rnacentral:rRNA from 1 species
ACGAACGCUGGCGGCGUGCUUAACACAUGCCAGUCGAACGGAAAGGCCUCUUUCGGGGGGUACUCGAGUGGCGAACGGGUGAGUAACACGUGAGUAACCUGCCCUUGACUUUGGGAUAACUUCAGGAAACUGGGGCUAAUACCGGAUAGGAGCUCCUGCUGCAUGGUGGUGGUUGGAAAGUUUCGGCGGUUGGGGAUGGACUCGCGGCUUAUCAGCUUGUUGGUGGGGUAGUGGCUUACCAAGGCUUUGACGGGUAGCCGGCCUGAGAGGGUGACCGGCCACAUUGGGACUGAGAUACGGCCCAGACUCCUACGGGAGGCAGCAGUGGGGAAUAUUGCACAAUGGGUGGAAGCCUGAUGCAGCAACGCCGUGUGCGGGAUGACGGCCUUCGGGUUGUAAACCGCUUUCGCUCAUGACGAAGCUUUGUGUGACGGUAGUGGGUAAAGAAGCACCGGCUAACUACGUG